AGCAGCCGCGGUAAUUCCAGCUCCAAUAGCGUAUAUUAAAGUUGUUGCAGUUAAAAAGCUCGUAGUUGAAUUUCGGGGUUAGUAGGUUGGUCAUGCCUCUGGUAUGUACUGGUCUCACUGAUUCCUCCUUCCUGAUGAGCCGUAAUGCCAUUAAUUUGGUGUUGCGGGGAAUUUGGACUGUUACUUUGAAAAAAUUGAGUGUUUAAAGCAAGCUAACGCUUGAAUACAUUAGCAUGGAAUAAUGAAAUAGGACGUUCGAUCCUAUUUUGUUGGUUUCUAGGAUUGACGUAAUGAUUAAUAGGGAUAGUUGGGGGCAUUAGUAUUCAAUUGUCAGAGUGAAAUUCUUGGAUUUAUUGAAGACUAACUACUGCGAAAAGCAUUUGCCAAGGAUGUUUUCAUUAAUCAAGAACGAAAGUUAGGGAUCGAAGACGAUCAGAUACCGUCGUAGUCUUAACCAUAAACUAUGCCGACUAGGGAUCGGAUGAUGUUAUUUUUAAUGACUCAUUCGGCGCCUUAAC
rnacentral:rRNA from 1 species